ACAUCAUGUGGGAACACCAGUUCCUGUAUGAUCACUGAAGUUAAGCAACAUCAACCCUGGUUAGUACCUAAAUGGGUGACCGCUUAGGAAUACCAGGUGCUAUA